UACGGAGGGUGCAAGCGUUAUCCGGAUUCACUGGGUUUAAAGGGUGCGUAGGUGGGUAAGUAAGUCAGUGGUGAAAUCUCCGGGCUUAACCCGGAAACUGCCGUUGAUACUAUCUGUCUUGAAUAUUGUGGAGGUGAGCGGAAUAUGUCAUGUAGCGGUGAAAUGCUUAGAUAUGACAUAGAACACCAAAUUGCGAAGGCAGCUCACUACUCAAUCAUUGACUCUGAGGCACGAAAGCGUGGGGAGCAAACAGG
rnacentral:rRNA from 1 species